rnacentral:rRNA from 1 species
UACGUAGGGUGCAAGCGUUAAUCGGAAUUACUGGGCGUAAAGCGUGCGCAGGCGGUUAUGUAAGACAGAUGUGAAAUCCCCGGGCUCAACCUGGGAACUGCAUUUGUGACUGCAUAGCUAGAGUACGGUAGAGGGGGAUGGAAUUCCGCGUGUAGCAGUGAAAUGCGUAGAUAUGCGGAGGAACACCGAUGGACGAAGGCAAUCCCCUGGACCUGUACUGACGC